rfam:Corchorus capsularis cultivar CVL-1 contig13442, whole genome shotgun sequence.
UUGACAGAAGAGAGUGAGCACACAGAGGACACAAUUGUAUAAUUCUAUACUUUUGCUUUUGCGUGCUCACUUCUCUUCCUGUCAG